AUUGAACGCUGGCGUCAGGCUUAACACAUGCAAGUCGAGCGGGGAAGGGUAGCUUGCUACCUAACCUAGCGGCGGACGGGUGAGUAAUGCUUAGGAAUCUGCCAUUUAGUGGGGGACAACAUUCCGAAAGGUAUGCUAAUACCGCAUACGUCCUACGGGAGAAAGCAGGGGAUCUUCGGACCUUGCGCUAAAUGAUGAGCCUAAGUCGGAUUAGCUAGUUGGUGGGGUAAAGGCCUACCAAGGCGACGAUCUGUAGCGGGUCUGAGAGGAUGAUCCGGCACACUGGGACUGAGACACGGCCCAGACUCCUACGGGAGGCAGCAGUGGGGAAUAUUGGACAAUGGGCGGAAGCCUGAUCCAGCCAUGCCGCGUGUGUGAAGAAGGCCUUUUGGUUGUAAAGCACUUUAAGCGAGGAGGAGGCUACUUAGAUUAAUACUCUAGGAUAGUGGACGUUACUCGCAGAAUAAGCACCGGCUAACUCUGUGCCAGCCGCCGCCGUAACAC
rnacentral:rRNA from 1 species